rnacentral:ncRNA from 1 species
UGCAACGCGAAGAACCUUACCAAGGCUUGACRUACACCGGAACGUCCAGAGAUGGCGCCCCGCAAGGUCGGUGUACAGGUGGUGCAUGGUUGUCGUCAGCUCGUGUCGUGAGAUGUUGGUUAGUCCCGCAACGAGCGCAACCCUUGUCCUGUGUUGCCAGCGGGUUAUGCCGGGGACUCAUGGGAGACUGCCGGGGUCAACUCGGAGGAAGGUGGGGAUGACGUCAAAUCAUCAUGCCCCUUAUGUCUUGGGCUUCACGCAUGCUACAAUGGCCGGUACAAAGGGCGGCGAUGCCGUAAGGUGGAGCGAAUCCCAAAAAGCCGGUCUCAGUUCGGAUUGGGGUCUGCAACUCGACCCCAUGAAGUCGGAGUCGCUAGUAAUCGCAGAUCAGCAACGCUGCGGUGAAUACGUUCUCGGGCCUUGUACACACCGCCCGUCACGUCACGAAAGUCGGUAACACCCGAAGCCGGUGGCCCAACCCUUGUGGGGGGAGCC